UACGUAGGGUGCAAGCGUUGUCCGGAAUUAUUGGGCGUAAAGGGCUCGUAGGCGGUCUGUCGCGUCAGGAGUGAAAACUCGGGGCUUAACCCCGAGCCUGCUUCUGAUACGGGCAGACUAGAGGUAUGCAGGGGAGAACGGAAUUCCUGGUGUAGCGGUGAAAUGCGCAGAUAUCAGGAGGAACACCGGUGGCGAAGGCGGUCUCUGGGCAUUACCUGACGUGAGGAGCGAAAGCCGUGGGGAGCGAACAGG
rnacentral:rRNA from 1 species